CUGGCGUAGUGUAGGUGAUGUGUAAUUCAAGGAUUUGAAUUAGUGGUUAAAUCCUUCUAAAUAAGGAGAUUGGAUGUAGCUACCAAGUUGGUGGUGAACCAUGAUAAAUCUGUUUGUGUCACUUUACUUAUGCACCCUUAAGUUUAUUGUUGCCUAUGAUUUCUUUAAGUAUGAUUGUUAUUGCUUCUGUUCUAAGAAAAUCACCAAACCCGAAACUGUUCUUGAAUAAAUAAUUAAAAAAGAAUCCAACUUAGACAAACACAAUUCAACCCCAUAUUCUAGUGUUUGCACCUUCAUAAAUUUCCUCUCUUUAAAAUUACAUUCAAAGUGAUUAUUUACCAAACCCUUGAUCGCAUCCACCUAUUCCACCCAAUUAUCUCUAUUCUACAAAGCAAUGAUUUGAUUUUUCCUUCUCCGUUCCUGCAAACUUGCAUGAAAUAAACUUAGUGUUAGCAUUUCCCUCCCUCACCCACUUCUCUCUUUAUUUUUUGUCUCAAUAAACACCCAUUAGGUCUAAUUUUUUUCAAAAUCUCUUUUCCACCUCCUUUCUCUUAUCAGUAUCCACAUCAACCUCCUCAUCACCCGCCAAGAUAUCCAAUCCAUUAAGUUCUUUGACUCUCUCCUCUAUGUCUGACCCUAUCCACCCAAACACUUCUCUAUUCAAACAUCUCAAUUUAUAUUUCAAAAGUUUCAACUUUUCAUUCAAAACAAAUGCAUUUCUCUCUUCCACAUGGAAGGAACUCCAACACUUUUCAACAAACGACAAGAAUUCUUUGUGUCCCUCCAACAGUUGUUAUAUAUGAAGGGUUUAGGACCCCAAUUGUCAAUGGAUUAUUUCAACUAGAUAAGAAAAUGGUUAGAAUUAUCCCUAUUUCCCAUCCACUGACCUACUACCUUCCACAUUUUCACCACCUUUAGAUAGAAGGAAUCUAUUGAUUCUACUCAUAACAUUCAUGUCCUAUCUAAAAUAAUAGUAAAGUUUUUUCUUAGUGGUGGAACAUCGAUCAAAUUCAUAUCCUUCAUGAAAUCAGCAGAAUUCCCCCAUUUGAGAAGAAUUUCAACCAAUUUUCACCCAUUGCCUUUCUGAUUUAAGCAAGACUGCACUAAAAUCACCUCCCAAACACCACUCCCAUUUCUUACCGCCACUCUUCAAAUCCACCAAAUCAUCCCACAACCUCCUUUUUUCCUUCAAUUGAACUUGGAAAGUAUAUAUUUACUAUAUAAAAGACAUAUCCCUCAUUUUAUAUAAAAACCCUCACGAAACCAUCACCAUUCAAAUUAUAUUUCACUGUAAACAUCUCAUCAUCCCAAAUUAUCAACACUUUUCUAAAAAAACCUUGAGAGAGUUUCAUCAUCCAUUUUGCUUUUUUCAAUCCCCCCAAACUACUAGUUAAUUCCUUAAACACAUUAAACUUUCGUUUUCUUUUCAAAAGUCACAACCCAACAAUGGAUUUGUUGCCAUUGUUACUCUUGCUCUUUGUAUCACUCUUCGAGCUCAUACAUUUUCCAUGACACAUUGUCAUAUGAUAUUUUUUUGGACAAUACAAUGCUUAUAACAAAUCAUUUAUAAUAAUGUGACGAACACAUUGGAAUAUUAAUCAUAAUAUAGAAACUAGAAAGUGAUUGGACUGCUCUUGCAAGAGCGUGAACAAUCUCAUUGACUUAUCUUCUAUCAAGAUCAACAUGAGAAUAUCUAUAAAAGUUCCAAUAGAGACGUUUACAAUCUUUGAUAUAGCCCCAAAUUCAGUUACGUGAUUCUUAUUGUUGUAGAAGACGUCAACCACUUUUUUCGAAUCUAACUCAAUUAUCUAGUACUAGGGGCAAUCAUGAACCCAACGCAAGGUGCUUCACCCAAAUCCACAACACAUAAUGAUGAAAACCAGCUUGUUCUUUCCAACACAAAGUGGCCAAAUUGAUCUCUAUAUCAAUGUUAAACUUGUAGCGACUUGUGACUAGUUUUACCCAACAGAUUCGUUUGCAGUCGCUAUUGUUAUAACAGCCAAAUCCACAGGUGAUGCUAAAACAAGAACUGUCACGCAGACAACCUUCCAAUCAUUAAGAAGUCGAGCUGCUCUCACACAAAUUUGUGUGUUGGUCACCAAUAUGUUGUUCCAAAGUUUAGUAUAAGUUGUAUUUUUAAUGAAUAUAAAAAUGAAACAAGCUCACUCAACAGAUGCUAGAGAUUCAAAAUGGUAAAAUCUAAACAUAGUGAUUCAAACUCAGACCCUUGUAAUUGAUCUUUCAACUACAUUUAUAUCUAAAAACUUAAGGAUAAAGUGCUUAAGAAUUUAAUCAAUAUUUUAUUAAAUUAAAAAAAAAUUGAUUAAUAAUUUUCUAACUUCCAUUUAACAGAAAGACCUAAUUAAAAAUAAUAUAAUAAUUCAGAGACAUGUUUAGAAAUUGCUUUUAGUUGAAUAACCUAUUUAACAAUUCCAAAAUAGUUCAACCACUUCUAAAAUAAACUUGUUACAUUUAUUGAAGAGAGUACAACUAAAAGUGUCGUGAAUUUGUCAAUUUGCAAGCUCAAUUGAGAUGAGUGACAUGCAACCCACAAAGUUUAUUUGCAAGAAGCAAACGUUUUUACUAAUUUGAAGGAAAAAGUUGAACAGACGUUGGAUAUGCUUCAAUUCCAGUCUUUAUUAUACAUGAAAACGAAACUAGUCGGAGACGCUUAGAAAGGUUACAACAAAAAGCACCAGUGAUCUAGUGGCAGAGUAUUCGGCGAUAAUUUCAUAUAUGCGGGGAUAGCUCAGUUGGGAGAGCGUCAGACUGAAGAUCUGAAGGUCGCGUGUUCGAUCCACGCUCACCGCAUCUCAAUUUUUGCUUUUUACUCUCUCAUUCGAUCAAUCUUUCCCAGCCUCAAAUUUGCAGGGAACUAAACAUGUUUAACACUAGUAACUAUGAAGAGGAAAGAAAUGGAGAAGAUUUUAACUCGUGUUUGGUUCUUGACUGAGUCUCAUUAUUCAUCAGAUGUACCUGUCAAAGCCAAAUGGGACCUCACCUUCAGUAUGAACUCAAAUCUGAUAUUGUUUCCAGUGGCAUGUUUGGCCUUGUUACAGGCGAAGAUGAUUUAUUUGCUAAUACCAUCCUCUUACGCCUUGCUGAUGGCUUUAGGAGAGGCAACACGGAGAUCAGGCUUUCUGUUGUCAGAGUUUUCUUGAUCGACCGAAAGCACCAAGAUAACAGGAAGCACAAGCAGUGUAAAUGGUUGUUGUCAAUGGCCAGAGUAGCUAACUACUUGGAGUUGUUGAAGCGGGUGAAACUUUUUUCAACGGUGGAGAUUCAGAGUCCAAGGCUAGCUCUGGUUCUGUUUGGUUGUUGGGCUGAUUUUUCCAAUGCCAAUGCCCAGACAUGAUACUUGAUACUUUCCAGCCUUGUUUCUCCUCAUGAUUGUGAGGUAAGACUAGCACCAACUUAUGAUCGAAGGUGUGUUUGCUGUCUAACACCGAUACAUAUCAUUACAUUCAAUUAAUUCAAUUUUUCAAAUUAUUACUGGUGUCGGUGUGUCAUUAUCGUGCCCGGUAUUCGUGUUUGUGUCAGUAUUAUGAGUGUAUUCAUUUCAUUAUGAACGGGUGCGUUUAUGCUUUGACAUAUAAGGUUGUUGGCCAGUUUUUAUGCAUAUAAGGUUGUUGUUGGCCAGUUUUUUUGCCUAUAAGGUUGUUGUUGGCCAGUUUUUUUGCAUAUAAGGUUGUUGUUGGCCAGUGUUAACCUUUUAUGGUUUGAUGCAGAGGUCUAGAGCUGAUAUCAAAUUCUUCUAAUGAUGAUUUUAUUUUUAUCAUGCUAUUCUCACUUUCAAAA